GCUCUUGUGGCGCAGAGGUUAGCGCUUCGUGCUUAUAGCCGUUUAUCGACGUAUAUACAUAUGUCACGAUCGUGUGAGGAACGCGAUGGUCGUGGGUUCAAUCCCCUCCUGGAGCA
rfam:Nadsonia fulvescens var. elongata DSM 6958 unplaced genomic scaffold NADFTscaffold_1, whole genome shotgun sequence.